AGUUACUGCCACCCUCUCCCAGGUCUAGAGAGGGGUACCCACGGUGGAGGGAGGUGGGAGGCCGAGACGGCCCCGGGGGUCGGCGGAGACCCAGCGGGAGCAGGGGGAAAUCGGAAGAGCUGGGGGCAUGGAGCGGGCGAGUUUGGAGCGGAAUGAGCCGGGAGCCCUACGUUGUGGAAGGAAGACAACAGUAUAGGACCAUCAGCAGGACCGGACAGAGAGGGCCCUGGCUGUCCUGGAACUUGUAGACCAGGCUGGCCUUGAACUCAGAAAUCCGCCUGCCUCUGACUCCCGAGUGCUGAGAUUAAAGGUGUGCACCACCACACCCGACAAGGAAGCCUGUUUUAAGAAGUGAUUCCAUGGAGGAGUUCUGCGGCGGCUCAGGGCUUGACUAAACAGUGGACCUCAGACAAGAGAGGCUAAACCAGGCUGCAGGUGACAGGAAGAAUUGAAUAAACUGAAAGCAAAGGGCAGCCUUCUAAUUACGCUUCGUGGCUAUGUGGACAACCUGGAGAAGUCUGGAAACAAGCCAGAAGCCCGAAGCCAGCAGUAGAGCUCUGACUGGCUUGUAUGCCUAGAAAGGAAGGGCUCUUCUUUCGCCUCACGGGCACAAAUGGGACCCACGAGCGCCGAUUUCAGACUAUUCUGAUCCCUUCAAAAAGAAAGUUAGGAGUCCAGGCUACUGUGAGUGAAUUUGAUUCUAAUUGUUUCAGAGAAUAUGGAAUAAAAUAUCUCAUUUGCAGUUGUUUA
rnacentral:lncRNA from 1 species